GAUGAACGCUGGCGGCGUGCCUAAUACAUGCAAGUCGAGCGAACGGACGAGAAGCUUGCUUCUCUGAUGUUAGCGGCGGACGGGUGAGUAACACGUGGAUAACCUACCUAUAAGACUGGGAUAACUUCGGGAAACCGGAGCUAAUACCGGAUGAUAUUUUGAACCGCAUGGUUCAAAAGUGAAAGACGGUCUUGCUGUCACUUAUAGAUGGAUCCGCGCUGCAUUAGCUAGUUGGUAAGGUAACGGCUUACCAAGGCAACGAUGCAUAGCCGACCUGAGAGGGUGAUCGGCCACACUGGAACUGAGACACGGUCCAGACUCCUACGGGAGGCAGCAGUAGGGAAUCUUCCGCAAUGGGCGAAAGCCUGACGGAGCAACGCCGCGUGAGUGAUGAAGGUCUUCGGAUCGUAAAACUCUGUUAUUAUGGAAGAACAUAUGUGUAAGUAACUGUGCACAUCUUGACGGUACCUAAUCAGAAAGCCACGGCUAACUACGUG
rnacentral:rRNA from 1 species